CGCUGGCGGCGUGCUUAACACAUGCAAGUCGAAGGGUAAGGCCCUUCGGGGUACACGAGUGGCGAACGGGUGAGUAACACGUGGGUGAUCUGCCCUGCACUUCGGGAUAAGCCUGGGAAACUGGGUCUAAUACCGGAUAGGACCAUGGACUUCACGGUUUGUGGUGGAAAGCUUUUGCGGUGUGGGAUGGGCCCGCGGCCUAUCAGCUUGUUGGUGGGGUAAUGGCCUACCAAGGCGACGACGGGUAGCCGGCCUGAGAGGGUGUCCGGCCACACUGGGACUGAGAUACGGCCCAGACUCCUACGGGAGGCAGCAGUGGGGAAUAUUGCACAAUGGGCGCAAGCCUGAUGCAGCGACGCCGCGUGAGGGAUGACGGCCUUCGGGUUGUAAACCUCUUUCAAUAGGGACGAAGCGCAAGUGACGGUACCUAUAGAAGAAGCACCGGCCCACUACGUG
rnacentral:rRNA from 1 species